rnacentral:lncRNA from 1 species
UGAAAAGCCGGAUUGGAUGAAACAGAAGAGAAACAUUUGGGAACUUACAGACUCAUAUGAUGAGUUACAGGAAGUUGAACCUGUUGAAGAAGAUCCAAAGGAGAAAGAGGAGAGAAAGCAAUGAGAAUGUGGAGUGACGAGAGCUAACAGUUAAAAGUCUUUCUCAAUUGUUAGGGAAGGCAUGUAGUUAAUUCAGUUUGCAUUGGAAAUAGAUCUGAACAUGGACCGAAGCUUGAAAAUAAAAGGAAAGAUUGCCAAGGCAGUUGUAGUUCAUCAAGAAAUUUACAAACAAAAAAGGCAAAGUCGUUAAUUCUCAUGCGAUUUUUUUUAAGAGUUCAUUGACCUCUGGUGUUGCUUUUUCUGUUUCAAGUGGAAUUCAACCUGUUACACUCGAAUCUGUUUUGCCUCCCCUGUUCCUAUACCAUCUGUGCCUGAUGAUGACCUGGAUGAUCCUUCAUUGCCAUCUUCUACUACCUUCUAUUAGAGUCAGUGGUAUCACUGCCAUCUGUCAACUUGCCCAUGCAACUACAUUUUUUCAGCAAAGUAUUAAGCAAGGAAAAUGAUGUUCACAGUUCUUUUUUUCACAUGGACGCAAUCCUUUUCUCUUUUUGUCUUGGAGUUUCCACCCCCAAAGAGUCCACGGCCCUCUUGCAAGAAAACGUUUGGAAAGGAGCUUGAGCCCAUGCUGAGCGUUUCCUGAACUGAGGCU